GGGAUUCACUGGAAGGCUUGGCUGCAAAAACUGAAACAACCCAAAAACACGUUUUAAUGUUGGAAGCAACUUAAGGGGAACCAUACAUGAAACAAAGAGGACGGGUCCAACCACAGAACCCUGAGGGAUUCCAAAACCAACUCUGGUGGAAACUGGAAUCUGUCAGCUCCUGCUCACCGCGCUCACAGGUUCCUCCGGAUACGAACCCGCCGCUCUCAGCUCCUUGUUCAUGGCCAGAACAUCCGUAAGGUCC